rnacentral:rRNA from 1 species
AUGGCGCAUACAAAGAGAAGCGACCUCGCGAGAGCAAGCGGACCUCAUAAAGUGUGUCGUAGUCCGGAUUGGAGUCUGCAACUCGACUCCAUGAAGUCGGAAUCGCUAGUAAUCGUGGAUCAGAAUGCCACGGUGAAUACGUUCCCGGGCCUUGUACACACCGCCCGUCACACCAUGGGAUUGGGUUGCAAAAGAAGUAGG